rnacentral:rRNA from 1 species
AGUGGCGAACGGGUGAGUAAUACAUAAAUAAUCUGCCCAUUGGACUGGGAUAACUAUUGGAAACGAUAGCUAAUACCGGAUAGGUGAUUUGAAGGCAUCUUCGAAUCAUUAAAGUAGGGUCACUACACCAAUGGAUGAGUUUAUGGCGCAUUAGUUAGUUGGCGGGGUAACGGCCCACCAAGACGAUGAUGCGUAGCCGACCUGAGAGGGUGACCGGCCACACUGGGACUGAGACACGGCCCAGACUCCUACGGGAGGCAGCAGUAGGGAAUUUUCGGCAAUGGGCGCAAGCCUGACCGAGCAACGCCGCGUGAGUGAUUAAGGCCUUCGGGUUGUAAAGCUCUGUUGUAAGGGAAGAACAUUCAGGAUAGGAAAUGAUCUUGAACUGACGGUACCUUACCAGAAAGCCACGGCUAACUACGUGCCAGCAGCCGCGGUAAUACGUAGGUGGCAAGCGUUAUCCGGAAUUAUUGGGCGUAAAGGGUGCGUAGGCGGUUUAUUAAGUCUAUGGUGAAAGUGCGGGGCUCAACCCCGUAUGGCCAUAGAAACUAGUAGACUUGAGUGCAGGAGAGGGCAAUGGAAUUCCAUGUGUAGCGGUAAAAUGCGUAGAUAUAUGGAGGAACACCAGUGGCGAAGGCGGUUGCCUGGCCUGUAACUGACGCUGAGGCACGAAAGCGUGGGGAGCAAAUAGGAUUAGAUACCCUAGUAGUCCACACU